rnacentral:lncRNA from 1 species
ACUGGAAUGAGUUGGUGAAAAAAAAUUUUUUUUCUGUUUUGGGUUUAUUACAUUUUAGUUUUAUAAGUUUUCACAUAAAUUCUGGAUUCUUCAUGACAGGCUCUAAUCUAAUUAGUCUUUUAAAUUAUAAUACAGUAAAUAUUUUAAGAGCUAUUUAUAUUUAAUAUGUAGAAUUCAUAAACUUUGAUUUGUGUGUGUGUGUGUCUUUUGUCUUUUCUAGGGCCACUCCCGAGGCAUAUGGAGGUUCCCAGGCUAGGAGUCUAAUUGGAGCUGCAGCCGCCGGCCUAAGCCAGAGCCACAGCAACGCCAGAUCUGAGCCUUGUAUGCCACCUACACCACAGCUCAGGGCAACAUGGAUCCUUAACCCCCUGAGCGAGGCCACGGAUCGAAACUGCAACCUCAUGGCUCCUAGUCAGAUUCGUUUCCCCUGCGCCACAACAGGAACUCCCAACUUUGAUUUAUAAUAUCCUUCUCCAAAUAUCCUUCAUUCCUUUUCACAAAGACUUCAUCUUCUAGAUAAAUUUUCCCCAUACUCAUUAAUCACUAGUGUCUCCCAGUUGAAUGGUAGUACCUCCGCUUGAGUAAUAGAGAGUUUAUUGUGAUGUAUUAAAGACAGUUAUGUCUGAGUCCGACAUAAAUGCUAGAAAACUUUGCCAUUAAUGCUAGAAAACUGAAGUCAAGGAUGCUACUAGGGUAUAAGAUGGAUUCUGCAAAUCUUUUUCUUUUUUUGGACACAUCUAUAAAACACAGAUAUAAAGGAGCAGAAGAAGAAAGCAUAGCUCCCUAAACCCAACUCUCCUAUCCCAAAUCAUCCUCCUUGUUUUCAGUCCAGCCCCAGUGGACUCAACUGUCUCACCUCUUCAUUAGUGCUGCCUUCACAGUGAGCAAUCUUCAAUCUCUUUUUUAUUCAAAAACAAAGAGAUGGGUGGCCCCUUGAUGGAGGCACAUUUCUCCCUAGCAUGAUGUUCUAAAGUAUGGUGGUGAUUAACACCCAAUUCAUUUCACAAAGAAUAUCAGGCGGUUGUAAUUAGUGGACUCAAAAACCAAUGUGCUUUGGUUCCAUUCUGGUGUCCUGGAACAUGCCUCAUGGCAAGGGUGAUUGACAUUAGCCAGCCGCCACCUACUGUGAUGGAGCCCGGGGAUAUAAUAGCUCCAGUUAUGCCAAGGCUAGGUUUGAAGAAAUAAAACCAGAAGCUCAUUUGCUUACAAUAGUAAGUCCUUGCAGGCAGCGGUUAUGCAGCAUAGUUUUCCUAUUGAUCCUGGGAUACUGUGUAAAUUAUGUGAUUCAUUAAUGCUUUCUGAUGGAGACGGAAACAGUUAGGACAUGCUACACAUCCAGCUGGGAUUUUCUCCAACUGAAUGCAAGAAAUAAUGGACUCGAGUUGCCCAUCACAUAGUUAACCUGACAUCUUUGGUAUAAGUAAAAUAGAAGAAUUAUAAUUAUUUCUAAGGGUGUUAUGAAAAGUAAUUUUAUAUUUACUGCUUAAAGACAGUCUCUAAAGAUGGGACUUGCUGAACAAGAGCAAAGGGAUCAGAGGAGCUCCUGUUGUAGCUCAGUGGAUUAAGGACCCGAUGUUGGAUGUUGUCUCUCUUAGGAUGCAGGUUCGAUCCUUGGCCUCACUCAGUGGGUUAAGGAUCUGGCGUUGCCACAAGCUGUGACGUAGGUCACAGAUGCAGCUCAGUCCAGUGUUGGUAUUAUUGUGGCUGUGGUGUAGGCCGUAGGCCGGCAGCUGCAACUCUGAUUCACCUCCUAGCCUGUGAACUUCCAUAUGCUGUGGGUGUGGCUGUAAACGAAACAAACAGAAAAAGGAGAUGGGAGAGCUGAAGUAGAUGAAUUUUCAUUUUUAAGAGGAUGUGAGUUAAAGAGUUCCCAUCUUGGCGCAGCAGAAACAAAUCUGACUAGGAACCAUGACGUUUCGGGUUUGAUCCCUGGCCUCUCUCAGUGGGUUAAGGAUCCGGAGUUGCUGUGAGCUGUGGUGUAGGUCACAGACACGGCUCAGAUCUGGCAUUGCUGUGGCUGUGGCGUAGGCUGGCAGCUGUAGCUUCGAUUAGAUCCCUGGCCAUGAGGAAGGUUGAAAUGCAAAUCUUGAGUCCACCUGAUAGGCAGGUGCUCAGCAAGGAAAGGCCUUCAGAAAAGUCCACAGUAUUUCAAUAUUUUGCCCAAUUUCAAUAUUUUGCCCAAACAGACAUAAUUUGGGAAUCACAUAUAGUGAAUGGGCAGCAAUUUCUUUAGAGAAGCCCAAGAAGGUGCCUGAAACAACUUAAGAUUCCACGGGAGGGAGCCUAAAGUUACCUAAGGCUCAAGAAAGACCUGGCCUGGCCUCUUAGUCACCUGAAUCUCACACAUCAAUGAGGACUCCCUCAUCUCCAACCUAUUAACCUCUGAUUGUAGAACCAACACACCGACUGCAAACUAGCCAGAUGUUAAGCCCCUUUGUGUUAUAGAAGUUACCUUGCUGAGAAAUUAAAGUGUGUGUUGGACACCUAUUCGUUUAAUAUUCGUAGCUUUCCAUAAGAUCUAGGUCAUUAACUUUGUACCAAUUUUCUCUGCAGAAACUACUUAAAGGAAGGUACCUCAAACAGAAAUGUGAUUUGGAGAUAAUAAGAGUUAAGUUUUUCCAAGACAGAACAUCGCUUUCCCAGUGUGCCUUUUGGAUGGUUUUGGUAU